UGUGGGAGCGGGCUUGCCUGCGAUGGCGCGGUGUCAGGUUAGAUAUAGUUGACUGACCCACCGCCAUCGCGGGCAAGCCCGCUCCCACA
rnacentral:misc_RNA from 1 species